AACGCGAAGAACCUUACCUGGGUUUGACAUCCUCUGACCGGCGUAGAGAUACGCAAUUCGUAGCAAUACGACAGAGAGACAGGUGCUGCAUGGCUGUCGUCAGCUCGUGUGGUGACAUGUUGGGUUAAGUCCCGCAACGAGCGCAACCCUUGUCCUUAGUUGCCAGCAUUUAGUUGGGCUCUCUAAGGAGACUGCCGUGGUUAACACGGAGGAAGGUGGGGAUGACGUCAAGUCCUCAUGGCCUUUAUAUCCAGGGCGACACACGUGAUACAAUGGACGGUACAGAGGGAAGCGAAACCGCGAGGUGGAGCCAAUCUCAAAAAGCCGUUCUCAGUUCGGAUUGGAGUCUGCAACUCGACUCCAUGAAGUUGGAAUCGCUAGUAAUCGCGGAUCAGCACGCCGCGGUGAAUACGUUCCCGGGCCUUGUACACACCGCUCGUC
rnacentral:rRNA from 1 species